rnacentral:rRNA from 1 species
ACGAACGCUGGCGGCGUGCUUAACACAUGCAAGUCGAACGGUAAGGCCUUUCGGGGUACACGAGUGGCGAACGGGUGAGUAACACGUGGGUGAUCUGCCCUGCACUUCGGGAUAAGCCCGGGAAACUGGGUCUAAUACCGGAUAGGACUGCGCGGUGCAUGCCGUGUGGUGGAAAGAUUUAUCGGUGCAGGAUGGGCCCGCGGCCUAUCAGCUUGUUGGUGGGGUAAUGGCCUACCAAGGCGACGACGGGUAGCCGGCCUGAGAGGGCGACCGGCCACACUGGGACUGAGACACGGCCCAGACUCCUACGGGAGGCAGCAGUGGGGAAUAUUGCACAAUGGGCGCAAGCCUGAUGCAGCGACGCCGCGUGAGGGAUGACGGCCUUCGGGUUGUAAACCUCUUUCAGCAGGGACGAAGCGUGAGUGACGGUACCUGCAGAAGAAGCACCGGCCAACUACGUG